rnacentral:rRNA from 1 species
GGCUAACGCUGGCGGCGCGCCUAACACAUGCAAGUCGAACGAGGCCCCUUUGGUUUACUAGAGGGUGUCCUAGUGGCAGACGGGUGAGUAACGCGUGAGCAAUGUGCCCUCUUUCUGGGGAUACCGUUUGGAAACGAACGUUAAUACCGAAUGUGCUUUAACUGCGGCAUCGUAGUUUGAGUAAACUGUUAGGGAGAGAGGAGCAGCUCGCGUUCUAUCAGCUAGAUGGUGGGGUAACGGCCUACCAUGGCGACGACGGAUAGCUGGUCUGAGAGGAUGAUCAGCCACACUGGGACUGAGACACGGCCCAGACUCCCACGGGAGGCAGCAGUGAGGAAUCUUGCACAAUGGGCGAAAGCCUGAUGCAGCGACGCCGCGUGAGGGACGACGGCCUUCGGG